UUUUUUAACUCAAGUGGCGGACGGGUGAGUAACACGUAAGAAUUUGCCUUUAGGAGGGGGAUAACAACUGGAAACGGUUGCUAAUACCCCAUAUGCUUUCGAGUGAAAUGGAUUUUUUCCGCCUAAAGAGAAGCUUGCGGCUGAUUAGCUUGUUGGUAAGGUAAUGGCUUACCAAGGCGACGAUCAGUAUCUGGUUUGAGAGGACGAUCAGACACACUGGAACUGAGACACGGUCCAG
rnacentral:rRNA from 1 species